AGGAUAAACGCUGGCGGCGUGCCUAACACAUGCAAGUCGAACGCCCUACGCAAGUAGGGAGUGGCGGACGGGUGAGGAACACGUGGGUUAUCUGCCUUUCGGUGAGGAAUACCAGCGAGAAAUCGCUGACAAUACCGCAUACGGUUCUUUCGAGAGGAAGAACGAAAGUCGUAAGACGCCGGGAGAUGAGCCUGCGCCCGAUUAGUUUGUUGGUGGGGUAAAAGCCUACCAAGACUGCAAUCGGUAGCUGGUCUGAGAGGACGAUCAGCCACACUGGGAUUGAGAACGGCCCAGACUCCUACGGGGGGCAGCAGUGAGGAAUUUUCGUCAAUGGGGGAAACCCUGAACGAGCAACGCCGCGUGCAGGAAGAAGGUUUUCGGAUCGUAAACUGCUUUUCUGUGGGAAGAGAACGGACGGUACACAGGAAGAAGCCCCGGCUAACUACGUGCCAGCAGCCGC
rnacentral:rRNA from 1 species